UUUGCAUAUUCAUAAGCGGAGGAAAAGAAACCAACAGGGAUUGCCUCAGUAACGGCGAGUGAAGCGGCAAGAGCUCAAAUUUGAAAUCUAGUACCUUCGGUGCUCGAGUUGUAAUUUGAAGGUAGUUUUCUGGUGCUGGCCCUUGUCUAUGUUCCUUGGAACAGGACGUCAUAGAGGGUGAGAAUCCCGUCUGAUGGGGUGUCCAGUGCUUUGUAGAUUUCUACCGAAGAGUCGAGUUGUUUGGGAAUGCAGCUCUAAGUGGGUGGUAAAUUCCAUCUAAAGCUAAAUAUUGGCGAGAGACCGAUAGCGAACAAGUACAGUGAUGGAAAGAUGAAAAGAACUUUGAAAAGAGAGUGAAAAAGUACGUGAAAUUGUUGAAAGGGAAGGGUAUUGGAUCAGACUUGGUGUUUUGUGAUUAUCUUCCCUUCUUGGGUUGUGCACUCGCAUUUCACUGGGCCAGCAUCGAUUCGGAUGGUAAGAUAAUGGCUUGAGAACGUGGCACUCUUCGGGGUGUGUUAUAGCUCUUGUUGAUGUUGCCUAUCUGGAUCGAGGACUGCGGCUUU
rnacentral:rRNA from 1 species